AUUUCAUGUUUCAAAGAGUGGUUUGGGUUGGAAGGGACCUUAAAGAUCACCUAGCUCCAACCCUCCUGCUGUGGGCAAAGACACUUUCCACUAGACCAGGUUUCUUAAAGCCCCCUCCAACCUGGCCUCAAACACUUCAAAGGAUGUGGCAGCCAUAAUUUCUCUGGG